rnacentral:rRNA from 1 species
GUUAUAUGGUCAAGCGAAUAAGCGCACACGGUGGAUGCCUUGGCGGUCAGAGGCGAUGAAGGACGUGGCAGCCUGCGAAAAGUAUCGGGGAGCUGGCAACAAGCUUUGAUCCGGUAAUGUCCGAAUGGGGAAACCCACCCGCUUGCGGGUAUCCUGCAGUGAAUACAUAGCUGCUGGAAGCGAACCUGGUGAACUGAAAUAUCUAAGUAACCAGAGGAAAAGAAAUCAACCGAGAUUCCGUAAGUAGCGACGAGCGAACGCGGACUAGCCCUUAAGCUGAUUUGGUUCUAGGAAAACGCUCUGGAAAGAGUGGCCAUAGAAGGUGAUAGCCCUGUAUCUGAAAGGGCCAUUUCAGUGAAGACGAGUAGGGCGGGGCACGUGAAACCCUGUCUGAACAUGGGGGGACCAUCCUCCAAGGCUAAAUACUACUGACCGACCGAUAGUGAACCAGUACCGUGAGGGAAAGGCGAAAAGAACCCCGGAGAGGGGAGUGAAAUAGAACCUGAAACCGUGUGCGUACAAGCAGUAGGAGCUCCGCAAGGAGUGACUGCGUACCUUUUGUAUAAUGGGUCAGCGACUUACUGUUCGUGGCAAGCUUAACCGUAUAGGGGAGGCGAAGGGAAACCGAGUCUGAUAAGGGCGCAUAGUCGCGGGCAGUAGACCCGAAACCGGGUGAUCUAGUCAUGCCCAGGGUGAAGGUGCGGUAACACGCACUGGAGGCCCGAACCCACUCCCGUUGCAAAGGUAGGGGAUGAGGUGUGAUUAGGAGUGAAAAGCUAAUCGAACCCGGAGAUAGCUGGUUCUCCUCGAAAGCUAUUUAGGUAGCGCCUCAUAUGUAUCCUCUCGGGGGUAGAGCACUGUUAUGGCUAGGGGGUCAUCGCGACUUACCAAACCAUUGCAAACUCCGAAUACCGAGACGGACUGUAUGGGAGACACACGGCGGGUGCUAACGUCCGUCGUGAAAAGGGAAACAACCCAGACCCACAGCUAAGGUCCCAAAUUUUGUGCUAAGUGGAAAACCAUGUGGAAAGGCACAGACAGCCAGGAGGUUGGCUUAGAAGCAGCCACCCUUUAAAGAAAGCGUAAUAGCUCACUGGUCGAGUCGGUCUGCGGGGAAGAUUUAACGGGGCUAAGCACAGAACCGAAGCUUGGGGUGCAUAACUUUGUUAUGCGCGGUAGAGGAGCGUUCCGUAAGCCGUUGAAGGUGGAUUGAGAAGUCUGCUGGAGGUAUCGGAAGUGCGAAUGCUGACAUGAGUAACGAUAAUGCGGGUGAAAAACCCGCACGCCGAAAGCCCAAGGUUUCCUUGCGCAACGUUAAUCGGCGCAGGGUGAGUCGGCCCCUAAGGCGAGGACGAAAGUCGUAGUCGAUGGGAAGCAGGUUAAUAUUCCUGCACCUCGCGUAAGUGCGAUGGAGGGACGGAGAAGGUUAGGUGUACCAGGCGUUGGUUGUCCUGGGGAAAGGCGGUAGGUUUGGAUCUUUGGCAAAUCCGGGAUCCUUCAAGACCGAGCACCGAGACGAGCCUUUAUGGCGAAGUCACUGAUACCACGCUUCCAGGAAAAGCUCCUAAGCUUCAGCUUACGCAGACCGUACCGUAAACCGACACAGGUGGGUAGGAUGAGAAUUCUCAGGCGCUUGAGAGAACUCGGGUGAAGGAACUAGGCAACAUGGCACCGUAACUUCGGGAGAAGGUGCACCCUUUUUGGUGGCUCGUGCGAGCUAUAGCUGAAGAGGGUCGCAGUAACCAGGCCGCUGCGACUGUUUAUCAAAAACACAGCACUCUGCAAACACGAAAGUGGACGUAUAGGGUGUGACGCCUGCCCGGUGCUGGAAGGUUAAUUGAUGGGGUCAGCCGCAAGGCGAAGCUCUUGAUCGAAGCCCCAGUAAACGGCGGCCGUAACUAUAACGGUCCUAAGGUAGCGAAAUUCCUUGUCGGGUAAGUUCCGACCUGCACGAAUGGCGUAACGACAGCGGCGCUGUCUCCACCCGAGACUCAGUGAAAUUGAAAUCGCUGUGAAGAUGCAGCGUUCCCGUGGCAAGACGGAAAGACCCCGUGAACCUUUACUAUAGCUUUACACUGAACGUUGAGUUCGUCUGUGUAGGAUAGGUGGGAGGCUAUGAAACCAUGGCGCUAGCUGUGGUGGAGCCAUCCUUGAAAUACCACCCUGUCGUGCUUGACGUUCUAACCUGGGCCCAUUAUCUGGGUCGGGGACCGUGUAUGGUGGGUAGUUUGACUGGGGCGGUCUCCUCCUAAAGAGUAACGGAGGAGCUCGAAGGUACGCUCAGCGCGGUCGGACAUCGCGCACUGUGUGCAAAGGCAUAAGCGUGCUUGACUGCAAGAUCGACGGAUCAAGCAGGUAGGAAACUAGGACUUAGUGAUCCGGUGGUUCUGUAUGGAAGGGCCAUCGCUCAACGGAUAAAAGGUACUCCGGGGAUAACAGGCUGAUACCGCCCAAGAGUUCAUAUCGACGGCGGUGUUUGGCACCUCGAUGUCGGCUCAUCACAUCCUGGGGCUGUAGUCGGUCCCAAGGGUAUGGCUGUUCGCCAUUUAAAGUGGUACGCGAGCUGGGUUCAGAACGUCGUGAGACAGUUCGGUCCCUAUCUGCCAUGGGCGUUGGAGAUUUGAGAGGGGCUGCUCCUAGUACGAGAGGACCGGAGUGGACGAACCUCUGGUGUUCCGGUUGUCACGCCAGUGGCAUUGCCGGGUAGCUAUGUUCGGAAGCGAUAACCGCUGAAAGCAUCUAAGCGGGAAGCGCGCCUCAAGAUGAGAUCUCCCGGGGCACAAGCCCCCUGAAGGAACCAUGUAGACUACGUGGUUGAUAGGUCAGGUGUGUAAGUACAGCAAUGUAUUGAGCUAACUGAUACUAAUGAUCCGUGCGGCUUGACCAUAUAACCU